UACGUAGGGUGCGAGCGUUGUCCGGAAUUAUUGGGCGUAAAGAGCUUGUAGGCGGUUUGUCGCGUCUGCCGUGAAAAUUCGAGGCUCAACCUCGAACUUGCGGUGGGUACGGGCAGACUAGAGUGUGGUAGGGGAGACUGGAAUUCCUGGUGUAGCGGUGAAAUGCGCAGAUAUCAGGAGGAACACCGAUGGCGAAGGCGGCCAUCUGGGACAACACUGACGCUGAGGCACGAAAGCGUGGGGAGCAAACAGG
rnacentral:rRNA from 1 species